UUUUUGCUUAGAUUUCCCAAUCCUCAUCUUCAUGAUAAUUGAUUACCCUUAAUUAAGAGAAACAUUAAUUAUGAGUAAUCAAUCACAUCAGGAAGAUGAAGAUUCAUCUUUGUGGUUUGAUUUCCGGCUUUGUAGCGCCGAAUUUGGGUAGCUUCGAAUUCAUCUCCUUGAUGAAUUGAUGAUCCUUAAUUAAGGGAAACAUUAAUUAAGAGUACUCAAUUAAUCAGGAGGAAGAACAUAAGUUUUUUUGGGUUGAUUUCUGGCUAUGUAGUUUCGAAUUGGGCUAGGUAAUUGAGCAGACGUCGAUCUUGCCUCACCCACACAAUUAUGUGAUUCCAGUAAUGGCUUGAGUAAGACAGGGGCAGCAGCCGACUGUUGAGUAUCACAUUGUCCCGCAACAAAAACUCCGGUUAGUUGUUCAGUUUAGAGUGUGUUCUAAAGGCCUCUAUAUAUUGUAUAAAUUAUUCUGAAAUUCUUAAAUUUACAGAAUAUGCAUGCCCAUUUGAUUAUGUUGCUAGAUUA